GAUCAGGCUCAGGACGAACGCUGGCGGCGCGCCUAACACAUGCAAGUCGAACGAGCGAGAGAGAGCUUGCUUUCUCGAGCGAGUGGCGAACGGGUGAGUAACGCGUGAGGAACCUGCCUCAAAGAGGGGGACAACAGUUGGAAACGACUGCUAAUACCGCAUAAGCCCACGGCUCGGCAUCGAGCAGAGGGAAAAGGAGCAAUCCGCUUUGAGAUGGCCUCGCGUCCGAUUAG
rnacentral:rRNA from 1 species